GAGAGAGAAAAAAACCUCUAUCUCCCCAUCCAGUGAAAAUGAGAAUGUGCAUUUCCAAGGAUCCAGUGCAGAGUUCUUUAAAAGAGGUGAUUAUUGAAGAUUCCACAAAUCUGAAGGGUGCCAGAUUGUGUAGGUUUAAUACAGCAAAUUGCAUAGAAGAAUUUCUGUGUCUGAAAGUAACAAGAGAGCCAAUUAAGCUGUAUUCCAUUACUGAACUGUUACAUUCUGCAGAUUGGAAAGAAGCCCCAUAGAGUCAUGCAGGGGAGAGUGCUUAUGUAUUCUCAUGCUUACUGCUCAGGCUUGCAACAAUUCAUGCUGUCCAGAGUUCUUCUGCAAAUAUUUGGAACAGUUGGCUACCCAGGGAGGUGGAGAAGAUUAAAAUGGACUUCAUGACCUUGACAGGGCUGGCUCCAACUUUUUUCUCUGAUGAAGAAAAGAGAAAUAAUC